rnacentral:lncRNA from 1 species
UUACCAACAACUUUGAAGACAAGUGGAUGUGUGUGUGGGUGAGGAUGAGGGUAUGACACCGGAGGUGGUGGUGAUGAAUAGUAGUAUGGUGGAGAGUACGACUUUGGUGGUGGUGGUGGAGAUGAGUAGUAAUAUGGUGGAGGGUAAGAUUUUGGUGGUGGUGGAGAUGAGUAAUAGUAAGGUGGAGGUGGUGAUUUCACCGGAGGAGGCGGUGAAUGGUAGUAGUAUGGAGGUGGAGGAGAUUUGACCGGUGGUGGUGGAGAGUGAUAAUAGUAUGGCGGCGGUGGAGAUUUAACUGGGGGAGGAGGAGAGUGGUAGUAGUACGGUGGUGGUGGAGAUUUGACUGGAGGAGGAGGAGAGUGGUAGUAGUACGGUGGUGGUGGAGACUUGACCGGAGGAGGAGGAGAGUGGUAGUAGUAAGGUGGAGGUGGAGACUUAACCGGAGGAGGAGGAGAGUGAUAGUAGUACGGUGGUGGAGGAGACUUCACCGGAGGGGGUGGAGAGUGAUAGUAGUACGGUGGUGGAGGAGACUUCACCGGAGGAGGUGGAGAAUGGUAGUAGUAUGGUGGUGGUGGAGAUUUCACUGGAGGAGGUGGUGAGUGAUAGUAGUAUGGUGGUGGAGGAGAUUUCACGGGAGGAGGUGGAGAAUGAUAGUAAUAAGGAGGAGGAGGAGAUUUCACCGGAGGCGGAGGAGAGUGAUAAUAAUACGGUGGUGGUGGAGAUUUCACCGGGGGAGGUGGAGAGUGGUAGUAAUACGGUGGUGGAGGAGACUUAACCGGAGGAGGAGGAGAGUGGUAGACAUAAGGAGGGGGAGGAGACUUCACGGGUGGUGGUGGAGAGUGGUAGUAAUACGGUGGUGGAGGAGACUUAACCGGAGGAGGAGGAGAGUGGUAUACAUAUGGAGGGGGAGGAGACUUCACGGGUGGUGGUGGAGAGUGGUAGUAAUAAGGUGGUGGAGGAGACUUAACAGGAGGAGGAGGAGAUUUAUACUCAUACGGUGGUGGAGGGGACUUAACUGGAGGGGGAGGAGAUUUGUAUUCAUAAGGAGGUGGAGGAGAUGCAACCGGAGGCGGUGGAGAUUUAUACUCAUACGGUGGUGGAGGAGAGCUAUAAAUGUAAGGUUCAGUAGCGAUUGCCGAGCCAACAAGUAACGCCAAAAUGGCUACUACCCAUUGACCCCUGGCAUGACUCCAUGCUGGAGUCGCCAUU